rnacentral:rRNA from 1 species
UACAGAGGUGGCAAGCGUUGUUCGGAAUUACUGGGCGUAAAGGGCGCGUAGGCGGUUUGACCAGUCAGGUGUGAAAUUCCCGGGCUUAACCUGGGGGCUGCACUUGAUACUGUCAGGCUUGAAUUCGGGAGAGGAUAGCGGAAUUCCCAGUGUAGAGGUGAAAUUCGUAGAUAUUGGGAAGAACACCGGUGGCGAAGGCGGCUAUCUGGACCGACAUUGACGCUGAGGCGCGAAAGCGUGGGGAGCAAACAGG